rnacentral:sRNA from 1 species
GAUAAAGAAACGCAGACUUAAACCGCUACGUCCCGUGGCAACGUCUGCAUGACCUACAUCCUGUAGG